rnacentral:rRNA from 1 species
ACUCUCGGGAACAGAUAUCUCGGCUCUCGCAUCGAUGAAGAACGUUGCAAAAUGCAAUACUUGGUGUGAAUUGUAGAAUCCCGUGAACCAUCGAGUCUUUGAACGCAAGUUGCGCCCGAAGCCAUUAGGCCGAGGGCACGUCUGCCUGGGCGUCACGCAUCGCGUUGACCCCUCGUAUCGUGCCUCAAUCACGGGGUGCACUGUCGUCAUGGGGCGGAUACUGGCCUCACGUGAGCCUCGAGCUCGCGGCUGGCCUAAAUGCGAGUCCACGUUGAUGGAAGUCGCGGUAAGUGGUGGUUGCAACUCAACUCUCUUUGCCGUCGCGGCUAUGGCCCGUAGCGCGUCCGGACUCCAGGACCCCUUCACUCUCAGGCACUCCGACCGCGACCCCAGGUCAGGCGAGAUUACCCAUUGAGUUUAAUCAUAUCAAUAAGAGGAGGAAAAGAAACUUACAAGGAUUCCCUUAGUAACAGCGAGCGAAUCGGGAACAACCCAGUCUUAGAAUCGGGCGGCUCCAUCGUCUGAAGGCCUCAGCGGCGGACCGGGCCCAAGACCCCUGGAAGGGGGCGCCGGAGAGGGUAAGAGCCUCGUCGUGCCCGGACCCUUGUGCACCACAAGGCGCUGUACACGAGUUGGGUUGUUUGGGAACGCAACCCAAAUAAGACGGUGAAUUCCAUCGAAGGCUAAAUACAGGCGAGAGACUGAUAGCGAACAAGUACUGCGAGGGAAAGAUGAAAAGGACUUUGAAAAGAGAGUCAAAGAGUGCUUCGGCAUCUGUGCGCUGCGGAAGCUGGCCUGUGGGCUCCCCAUUCGACCCAUCUUGAAACACGGACCAAGGAGUCUGACAUGUGUGCGAGUCAACGGACGAGUAAACCCGUAAGGCGCAAGGAAGCUGAUUGGUGGGAUCCCCCCGAGGGGUGCACCGCCGACCGACCUUGAUCUUUUGAGAAGGGUUAGAGUGUGAGCAUACCUGUCGGGACCCGAAAGAUGGUGAACUAUUCCUGAGCGGGGCGAAUCCAGAGGAAACUCUGGUGGAGGCCGCAGCGAUACUGAAUCAAGGGCCGUGCGACUGCUUUGUUAAGCUGCACCACGGAAUCAAGGGAUCCGAGUGGGCCAUUUUUGGUAAGCAGAACUGGCGAUGCGGGAUGAACCGGAAGCUGGGUUACGGUGCCAAAAUGUGUGCUAACCUAGAUCCCACAAAGGGUGUUGGUCGAUUAAGACAGCAGGACGGUGGUCAUGGAAGUCAAAAUUCGCUAACGAGUGUGUAACAACUCACCUGCCAAAUAAACUAACCUCGAAAAUGGAUGGCGCUUAAGCGCGCGACCUAUACCCGGCCGUCGAGGUAAGUGCCAGGCCCCGAUGAGUAGGAUGGCAUGGCAGUCGCUGUAAAACAUCGGGCGCGAGCCCGGCCGGAGCGACCGUAGGAGCAGAUCUUAGUGGUAGUAGCAAAUAUUCAAAUGAGAACUUUGAAGGCCGAAGAGGGAAAAGGUUCCAUGUGAACGGCACUUGCACAUGGGUUAGUCGAUCCUAAAGGACAGGGAAACCCCGACAUAUAGCGCGUUUCGCGCGACCUCCAAAAGGGAAUUGGGUUAAAAUUCCUGAACCGGGAUGUGGCGGUCGACGACAACGUUAAGAAGUCCGGAGACGUCGGUGGGAGCCUCAGGAAGAGUUAUCUUUUCUGUUUAACAGCCUGCCCACCCUAGAAUCGGCUCAGCCGGAGGUAGAGUCCAGCGGCUGGAAGAGCACCGCACGUCGCGUGGUAUCCGGUGUGCUCCCGGUGGCCCUUGAAAAUCUGGAGGACCAAAUGCCGUCCAUACCCAGUCGUACUCAUAACCGCAUCAAGUCUCUAAGGUGAACAACCUCUGGUCGAUGGAAUAAUGUAGGCAAGGGAAGUCGGCAAAAUGGAUCCGUAUAUUUGGGAAAAGGAUUGGCUUUGAGGGCUGGGCACAGGGGUCCCAGUCUCGAACCCGUCGGCUCUCGGUGGACUGCUCGAGCUGCUCCCGCGGCGAGAGUGGGUCGCCGCAUGCCGGUUGGGGGAAGGACUGGGAACGGUUCCUUCGGGGGCCUUCCCCGCGCAUCGAACAACCAACUCAGAACUGGUACGUACAAAGCAUUGCGAUCCGACUGUUUAAUUAAAACAAAGCAUUGCGAUGGUCCCAAUGGAUGCUCACGCAAUGUGAUUUCUUCCCAGUGCUCUGAAUGUCAAAGUGAAGAAAUUCAACCAAGCGCGGGUAAAUGGCGGGAGUAACUAUGACUCUCUUAAGGUAGACAAAUGCCUCGUCAUCUAAUUAGUGACGCGCAUGAAUGGAUUAACGAGAUUCCCACUGUCCCUGUAUACUAUCCAGCGAAACCACAGCCAAGGGAACGGGCUUGGCAGAAACAGCGGAGAAACAAGACCCUGUUGAGCUUGACUCUAGUCUGACUUUGUGAAGUGACUUGAGAGGUGUAGUGUAAGUGGGAGACGAAAGGUGAAAGUGAAAUACCACUACUUUUAACAUUAUUUUACUCAUUCCGUGAAUCAGAAGCGGGGCACUGUCCCUCUUUUUGGACCCAAGGCUCGCUCUGCGGGCCGAUACGGGCGAAAGACAUUGUCAGGUGGGGAGUUUCGCUUGGGCGGCACAUUUGUUAAAAGAUAACGCAGGUGUCCUAAGAUGAGCUCAACGAGAACAGAAAUCUCGAGUGGAACAGAAGGGUAAAAGCUCUUUUGAUUCUAAUUUCCAGUACGAAUACGAACCGGGAAAGUGUGGCCUAACGAUCCUUUAGACCUUCGGAAUUCGAAGCUAGAGGUGUCAGAAAAGUUACCACAGGGAUAACUGGCUUGUGAAAGCCAAGCGUUCAUAGCGACGUUGCUUUUUGUGGAGGCAUGCCGCAAUUAGAGGUUUUUGUGACCGUCGAGUGCAAUGCUGGAAAUGCCUCCAAUAACGAAUGUCGACGGACGUAUAAUGGCCUACCAUGGUGGUGUCUUUGUCAAGUUGGAUAUCCGUGCACCGUAGCACCAAGGCAUCUUGGCCCCGUGGCGCCAUGGCACCAAGGCCCCGUGGCGCCAUGGCACCAAGGCACCGUGGCGCCAUGGCACCAAGGCACCAAGGCACCAUGGUACCAUGACACCAUGUCACCAAGGCAGCAAGGCACCGCUGCACCAUGGCACCGCAGCACCAUGGCACCGCGGCACCGUGGCGCCAUGGCGCCGUGGCACUGUGGCACCAAGGCACCGGGGCAUCGU